rnacentral:rRNA from 1 species
CCUGUUUAACAAAAACAUGUCUUUUUGAGUUAUUUUUAAAGUCUGACCUGCCCACUGAAAUUAUUUAAAUGGCCGCAGUAUUCUAACUGUGCAAAGGUAGCAUAAUCAUUAGUCUUUUAAUUGAAGGCUGGUAUGAACGGUUGGACGAGGUAUAAGCUGUUUCAUAUAAAUUUAUAAUAGAAUUUUAUAUUUUAGUCAAAAAGCUAAAAUUUAAUUAAAAGACGAGAAGACCCUAUAAAUCUUUAUACUUUAUGUUGUUUAAAUUUUUUAGAUUAGUUUUAUUUUUAUAAUUUAAAGUAUUUUGUUGGGGUGAUAUUAAAAUUUAAUGAACUUUUAAUUAUUAAAAAUCAUUAAUUUAUGAAUUAUUGAUCCAUUAGUAGUGAUUAUAAGAUUAAGUUACUUUAGGGAUAACAGCGUAAUUUUUUUGGAGAGUUCAUAUCGAUAAAAAAGUUUGCGACCUCGAUGUUGGAUUAAGAUAUAUUUUUAGGUGUAGCCGCUUAAAU